rnacentral:rRNA from 1 species
UACGAAGGGGGCUAGCGUUGCUCGGAAUCACUGGGCGUAAAGGGUGCGUAGGCGGGUCUUUAAGUCCGGGGGGAAAUCCUGGAGCUCAACUCCAGAACUGCCCUUGAUACUGAGGAUCUUGAGUUCGGGAGAGGUGAGUGGAACUGCGAGUGUAGAGGUGAAAUUCGUAGAUAUUCGCAAGAACACCAGUGGCGAAGGCGGCUCACUGGCCCGAUACUGACGCUGAGGCACGAAAGCGUGGGGAGCAAACAGG